CAGUCGCCGCGGUAAUGCGUAGGUGGCAAGCGUUAUCCGGAAUUAUUGGGCGUAAAGGGCUCGCAGGCGGUUUCUUAAGUCUGAUGUGAAAGCCCCCGGCUCAACCGGGGAGGGUCAUUGGAAACUGGGAAACUUGAGUGCAGAAGAGGAGAGUGGAAUUCCACGUGUAGCGGUGAAAUGCGUAGAGAUGUGGAGGAACACCAGUGGCGAAGGCGACUCUCUGGUCUGUAACUGACGCUGAGGAGCGAAAGCGUGGGGAGCGAACAGGAUUAGAUACCCCCGUAGUCCCUGUCUCUUAUAC
rnacentral:rRNA from 1 species